GACGAACGCUGGCGGCGUGCUUAACACAUGCAAGUCGAACGGAAAGACCCUGAUUUUGUGGGGUGCUCGAGUGGCGAACGGGUGAGUAACACGUGAGUAACCUGCCCUUGACUUUGGGAUAACUUCAGGAAACUGGGGCUAAUACCGGAUAGGAGAUCCUGCUGCAUGGUGGGGGAUGGAAAGUGUCGGCGGUUGGGGCUGGAAUAGCGGCUUAUCAGCUUGUUGGUGGGGUAGUGGCUUACGAAGGCUUUGACGGGUAGCCCGCCUUAGAGGGUGACCGGGCACAAGGGUACUGAGAGACGGCGCAGACGCGUACGGGCGGCAGUAGUGGGGAAUCUUGCGGAGCGGGGGGGAGCCUGAUGCGGAGAUGCCGGGUGCGGGAUGCUGUGUUACGGGUUGUAAACAGCUUUCGACUGUGCCGUAGCGUGAGUGACGGUAAUGGGUAAAGAAGCACCGGCUAACUACGUG
rnacentral:rRNA from 1 species